rfam:Hordeum vulgare subsp. vulgare, WGS project CAJW01000000 data, contig: morex_contig_166675
AAAGUACUCCCUUGUCCCAAAAUUCUUGUCUUAGAUUUGUCUAAAUACGGAUGUAUCUAGUCACGUUUUAGUGUUAGAUACAUCCGUAUCUAGACAAAUAUAAGACAAGAAU